CUAGAGUGAAUAUAGCUGCCAUUUCACAUUAGAUCUAAAAGGGGAACAUAAAGAGUUUUGUAUAUAUUUUGCAAAUCAAGACAACACAGUGCAGAACUCUAGUUCAACCAGCAGCACCAUGACUGUGUCCGCACCCAAAGCAUCUCUGGAAUCGCAGAACCCUCCUUUGUGGCAGUAGAGUUACUCUACCUCUGCUGAGGGGAGUGUGACUUCUGCUGACAUCUGGCAGCUGGCAUAAGGCACCUGUGGACACACCUGUUUCCUUUGGUGUCUGCUAUAGUCUUGUCUAGAUGGAGUCUAAGGCUCUCAAUAUUUUGUUCAACUUCUGCUUCAUAGGCCAGCAACAAAUCUAGGAAAGCUUGGGGCAUGGAGACUAAUAAUAAUUCAGCUUGGGUGAUAUUAGACCUGACUGACAUCCUCAAAUACAGUUUCCAGUUCCUUACAGUGUGAAGAUACAUGGAAGUCCUGGCAUAGGGGAAACUCUACAAGGGGUUGGAAUAGUGUGAAGCAUCAGAGUUGCAGAGGCUGCCGUGAAGCCUUCAUCCUGGCUGCUCAUUCCUCCUUUCUCUGUCGUGAUGGGGGAGAGGCUGGAAGAUGUGGAUAACCCUGCUUAUCUGCCUAUUUAGUAUUUAUAUUCUUAUAGAGUUCCAGGCCAGAGCCCAUAGUAUUAAGUACAGCACAAGUUGGUUGACUUUCUUCAGAGCUGUGCUCUCCUGAGGUACACAGGAUGUACCCAUCUUAUCUUAGCACCUUGCUUCCUACAUAGAAUAUGGCAGGAUUUGCUGCUAAAGACCUGAUUCUAUACUUCUUGUAUAUCCAAAUCUGGAUGCCUAGGGUUGCUGGCAUAGGUCCUAGCUUUGCCUGUACGCAGUGACGAAACAAGAAUUCUUGGAUUCCCAAGCCCAUGUCCUUCUACACAAAGUUUCCAGUUUCACCUAUACAAAACUGCCAGGCUAAUUACAAUGUUUAGUCAGUCAGAAAUUCAAUGAUCUAGGUAGUGCUUAGCCAGCGAGUAUGAGGAUUAAGUUGGGCUUAUUCACUUGAUAUCAUGCUCCUUUUCAAUGUGAUUCUAUGGUAUACAGAAAAUGCAUAGUGGAAUUUUUUAGUUUCAUCCAUGAUAACAUGCAAAAUUAGACUCAGUUUGAGCUGCAUAAGACCUUGUGAUUGCUAUACAGACAAAUCUUUCUUGCUUCAGAAGAAGAAAAGAAUAUCAUCUCAAGAUUAAGAUCAUAUUGAAUAACUGACCAUUUUGAUGUAUUUCCAUGAUUCUAUGAAUGAAAUUGGCAGUUUUAAGUUUAAAGGGUACAAUUUUUGUCUCCACUUAAGCUUUUAGUUUCAGAUGAGACCUUAAAAAAGUCAAAGUUUGAGCUGCUGUCUAUGAUUACUAAAGGUUCUGUGGCAUUUCUCCUCAGAGCUGGGAUUUUUUCUGAGUCCUCAGCCAAGAAAAUACCCUUUAUUCCUGUUACCAUGCAUCACUCUACUUCAGUAGCUUUUUUGUUGUAUUUCAAAACAGAACUGGCUUUUAUUUAGUCUAUACUAUGUAGAGUUUGAGAGGUGCAGUGAGAUAAGAAAGGCUAUAAAUAUUUAAAAUAUUACAAAUGAGAAAUGAAUAUAUAUCUGCCUUACUUUUAAGGCUUUGCUUGCCAUUGAAUGCUCCUGGGUAAUCCCCAGUUACUGUGAUGUUAAUGAGCAUUAUGCAAGGCAGUUCAGAAGAGACUUGAUCCUAUAAAUUCUUAGUUUAGGCAAAUAGUUUAAUUGACUUCAGUGAAACUAUUCAGCAUCAGAUAAAGCCCAAGUCUACAGCCCUUACCCAUGUGAAUAGUCCCAUUAACCUGAGUAAAGUUGAUUGCAUCUUGUUCAGCUUUGCAGAGAAGUAAAAUUUCUCAAGCAAAACCACUGCAAGCUAUAUAGGACUGACCUAUUUGCACCUUGGGUUUUGAGUCCUGAUGUGGGCCAGAUUACAGCCUUGCACACUGGAUAGUACAACCCACCUCAGAACUUGUGGGUAAGAAGAUGAAGUUGGACAGAAGUGUUUGCUUUCAGUGUCUCUUAUGCUUCCCUGAGCCAGUAAAAGGUGGGAAGUAUAUUGUACCCUGUAAAGAGGUAUUAUUGCAACUUCCUUCCCUCCACACCCAAUGGGGGAGAAGAGGAGAAAUUGUGAUUCAAAGGCACUGUUCAUUCCUGAUAGUCUCACUGAAGCACAGAUACACAUCUCUCCCUGCCCCAUUACUAAAGGAUGAGCAUAAAGGCUCAGUUUACUUCCAUGAAUUCUGGGGAAUUUAGGUCCUGACUUUGUGAGCUAUGAGAGCACCCAAUAUAGAGCAGGAUAAAUCUUGGAAUGGUGGAAGAGGAGGGAAGCACAACUAACACUCAGUAUAACUGCAGAUGUGUCAGCUGCUAGGGUAUGAAACAACACAAUGAGCUGUAGAGAAAAUAUUCUGGGAAAAGGAAACCUACACGUAAAUCAAAAAAUUGAAACAAAAAAGCAAAUAAGCUUUUUUGUGCAGGGAAAUAGCAGCCAUCUUCAGGAAACCAAUUCAACCUGACUAUUAAAUCACCAUGAGAAUAAGCAAAGUAAUAGCAAUGGCAGGCCAAAAUGGGAGUUCUUUUUCCAGUAUUAUUUUUUCCUCAAAGGCAAUCUUGAAAAGCAAAAGCAGACAGUUCUCAUUUCCCUGGAGUGGAGAGUCUCAAUAUAUAUAUUGUUUUUAGGAUUUUUUUCUUUAAUGUAAGUUUGUAGCCAGGCCUGACUUGUAUUCUAAGCUCCUAAUCAAGUGAUCAUUUUCUUGAUUGUUUUAAGGGUAUAUUUAUACUUGUUAAAAUUGUGGUGUGAUAUGCUGGCCUAUAGAACUCAAUGGUGAUUUGACAUUCAUUUAUAUAGGGCCAGAAAUUCUACAUGUAAUUUGAUUAGUUAUGUACAGCAAUUCUGUAUUUAACUAGCACUUCUCAUGAAUUAUAUCCAAAUGGAACAAAUAUUGUGUUUUCAACAGAAUAUGAUGUCUGCCAAAAAGUAUUUUUUAAAUUAUAUUAAUAUUUGUUUCUAUUCUUUAUCAAGUCCAGCAGAAAAUGAGACUAUUUAAAAUGUGUAUCCAAAUGUCUGGUAAUUGCCCCUGCAAGGGUUGAAUAUAAGAUGGUAAACUGUAAAUGGUGGGGCUUAUUUUGCAAUCACUGCAUAUUUGUAAUGCCCAUCGACCACAAGAAUUGUAUCCCUGUAAAAAGAAAACAGCUGAUAUACUUCUUAUGAGGACAAUCUUUACUCAUAAACCCAGUCCUAUCAAAGACAGUCAUAUACAAUGUUUGGGAUUACUUGGAUGAUCUAUGUCAGGUCAAACUGCUAGUCAUUUCUGUAUUAUUUCUUGCCUUAUUGGCUCCCUAGGGCCUGAUGCUGCAAAUACUUAUUGAGGCUCUUAGUUGUCCAAGUGAGAUGUGAGCAAUCCUGCUGAGUACCUGAACACGAUCCAAGGCAAGGUACCUCAGGUAAAAAUGUACUGUAUCCACACUCGGAAUCACAUGUGUCAAGGAAGUAUAAGCUAUUACUGUCUUAGAAGUUGCUGAAUGCUUCCUGUAACUUUACAUUAAGUUCUUAGAAGUGAUCGAUGGGAACUGCAACUGCUAACAUAUGGCAGAUUAGGGUCUCUAUGGCCCUGGCUACAUGUUAUACUUAAGACAUGAUUACUUGGUUAAUCACACCGUAAGUUGUGACCCAACUACAGAUUUAACCAAUUAAUGGUGUGAUAAAACAAGCAAUAAGGUACAAAGUUAUUCCACAAAACUGUGGAAUAAUUUUGCAGCUUGUUCUAAUCAUGCCGUUAAUUGAACAUGCAGCCAAGGGGGAGCCCCAUCACCUGAGGCACUCCCAGCCACUGGGGUGCACCACCCACUGCCAGCUCCGCAGUGAGGGUAGUGGGAAGAACGCUGCUGCUGCUGCGAGCCUUGUGAGGUGUGGGGCUUGCACCAGCAGCAGCUUUCUGUGUGCUGCCCCGCUGUGAGUCCCAAGCUGAUGGUGGCUGUGGGGCUCACAGCUGGGGCAACAAGAAGAAAACUGCCCCUGCUACAAGCAAGCCUUGUGCCGUACAGGGCUCACAGAGGGGGUAACAGGGAAAAUGCUGCUCCUGUUGCAAGCCCAAUAGCCAACAAAGCUCACAGUGGGGGCAGCAUUCCCGGUAUUGGCCCUGCUGUGAACCUUACAGCCAGUGGUGGCUCAGGACUCACAGCUGGGGCAAGACAGGGAAUGCUGCCCCAACUGCAAGCCCUGCUGAGCCCUGUUAGCUGCAGGACUUGCAGCAUGCGAGCCAGUGCUAGGGGAGCCCAGGUUUGUGACCCCAAACUCCCGCUGCACCAAUUAAAAGACACGAUGGGAUCUCAUGUGCAAUCCCACAAUUGCACCUCCUGCCACAUAUGUGUGGAUCAUGCAUUAUAAUCUCAUUGUGCCUUUACCUGCACAUGUAGAGGGGCCCUAAGAGUGAGAACAGGUGUUGCAGUAGUGCCUGCUCCUGAUCCAAUCUAUGCAAUUUAGAGAAACCUGAAUAGAUUGGAUUGAUUCUGCCUUGGGCUUUUUGAACGUCUGUACUUAGCCUGGGACUCCAUCUGGUGUGAGGACCAUCCUGAGCUCAGUCUGACAAAGGGUUUUUAUGCCUGAAAGCUUGCUAAGAAGAAUUUUUCCAACUAUUUGAGUUGGUCUAAUAAAAGAUAUCAGAUUUACCCAAAUAAUCUUGUCUGCCUAUGUCCUUAGACCAACACAGCUACAACCUACACCCCUGUAUUGAAAUCCAUGGAAUUUAAGCACAAAUUUAAACACAUAAUAAGAGUUUUGCUGAAUUUGGAACUAAGGAAAUUCAAGUUAACUAAAUAUCUGUCCCAGUGAUCAGGCUCCUAAUUUUAUGCUGAUUCUGGGUGGCAUCAUUGGUCUGCUAUCUAGCUUGUAACAAGGGGCGGCAGCACAUUGUUGAGCUGAAGCUGGUUUGGGAAUGACUUUUGGAGUAAAAAAUCUAACUCCUGGUCUGCUCACUUCUUUACUACAGCAGCAAGAAAUGACAGAUCUGUACCUUUUGCAGCAUACAUGCCUUGAUAUGCUGGCAUAACUAUGCCACUGGUUUUGUUGGAGGGCAGAAUCAGGGCUCUUUUUGCUUCCCAUUUUUUUGCUUCCCUCCACAAGGAUGGGGUGCAGUAGUUCUGCUAAGCCUUCAGAGUAGUGGUACAGUGCAAGGCAGUAACAGGGCUAUUUUCAUCCCCUGUAUUUGGUGAAGAUGGUAUAUAGUAUGGGACAUGAUCUGGCUUUCAUCACCUCUGUGGCAUCCUCUAAUCAAACUGUCUCCUGCUUUGUGUGCAAAAUCUGUGUGUUUUCUAAAAACCUAACUGUGUUAAUACCUUUUCUAUCCUGCAAAAGGGCUUCCAACAUGUGAUUUUUGAGGCCAAACUUCUAUGCAAGGUUUUGGGUUUUUUUGGAGGGGUGGUGGGGGUUAGUGCUAAAUUAAAGGAAACGGUUGUGUCAAAAGAAAAGAGGUUAGGACCAAUUCAAGCAAGAAAGCUUUCAAUUUAGAUAACUGUAAUGUACUAAUCUAUUCAGCAUAUUUUUUUCUGGGGCUUGCAUUUAUCCUUUUUUAAUUAAAUCAUUUCUAAGCUUUAAAA